rnacentral:rRNA from 1 species
AACGAACGCUGGCGGCAGGCCUAACACAUGCAAGUCGAGCGCCCCGCAAGGGGAGCGGCGGACGGGUGAGUAACACGUGGGAACGUACCCUUUGCUACGGAAUAGUCUCGGGAAACUGGGGGUAAUACCGUAUGUGCCCUUCGGGGGAAAGAUUUAUCGGCAAAGGAUCGGCCCGCGUUGGAUUAGGUAGUUGGUGGGGUAAUGGCCUACCAAGCCGACGAUCCAUAGCUGGUUUGAGAGGAUGAUCAGCCACACUGGGACUGAGACACGGCCCAGACUCCUACGGGAGGCAGCAGUGGGGAAUCUUAGACAAUGGGCGCAAGCCUGAUCUAGCCAUGCCGCGUGAGCGAUUGAAGGCCUUAGGGUUGUAAAGCUCUUUCAGUGGGGAAGAUAAUGACUGUACCCACAGAAGAAGCCCCGGCUAACUCCGUGCCAGCAGCCGCGGUAAUGUCUGUACU